UACAGAGGUCUCAAGCGUUGUUCGGAUUCAUUGGGCGUAAAGGGCGCGUAGGCGGCGCGGGCAGUCAACGGUGAAAGCUUGGGGCUCAACCCCGAGUCGGCCGUCGAUACUCCCGGGCUGGAGCACUGUAGAGGCAGGUGGAAUUCCGGGUGUAGCGGUGGAAUGCGUAGAGAUCCGGAAGAACACCGGUGGCGAAGGCGGCCUGCUGGGCAGUAGCUGACGCUGAGGCGCGACAGCGUGGGGAGCAAACAGG
rnacentral:rRNA from 1 species